rnacentral:lncRNA from 1 species
AAGAAAUCCACCAUCUUGUCCUCUUCUUCACACAGACCUAGAGAAGGCAGGAAACCCUUGGAAAUGGAUCCGCCCUCUAGCGGUUAACAAGGGAGCUGAGGAAUAAUGGGAUUUGACAUCAUUGGAAAGCACAGCCACACCCAAAAACAGGUGUGUGCACAAGAAUUUCUGAACACAGAUUUUACCAGCUACACCCACACCCUCAAUUCUACUUGAAAUUAAUCUUAAAGAAAUUUUGAAUUUGCUGAUAAUUUGAGAUCAGUAAAGAUUUUCCCUGAAAGUUCUAAGGACUUCGCUUGGGGUUUUGGAUUGGAUUCCAGAGGUUGGCACCUACGCUCUAAAAAAUCUAAACAGAAGGAGAAAAUAAAUCACCAACUGGCACUUUAAAGACAAAGAUUUAUACCAGAUUUAAUAAACUUCCUGUCUUGCUGAGCAUGAGGAAAAUGUCGUGUUUACCCCGAUGCUCUCUGCUCCUGGCAGCGUGUGUGCUGAGUUGGAAGGGCUGCAGAAGUGGGUCACGCUCACCCAACUGGAACUCGAAAGACUCAUAGAGAGCAAGCACUGGACAAUGGCCUGGUGUCCAUGAUGUAUCCCUGCCUGUCGUUACUAAUCCUACUCAGGGCCAAGCUGGAGAGAAAUGUGAACUGGGAGUACCGCACACAGCAUGGCUUCCAGCCUGAAGUGACUGUAAAAUGCCAGUGAAUAGAGAGGCUCAAGGCUGAGUAAAGGAUCCUGCACACUCAACAGGCUCAUCCUUCUCUGCACCCGAGUUGUUCAUAGAGUCCCAGUUACAGAGCUUUCAGAAGGCGGAAUUCGUCCACAGCACACUAUUGAUGCCUAUCGAAUCUAAGGAAAUUAACUAAGAAGGGAAGAAAUAAUCUUCAUAGAAAAGGGAUUUGAGAACCCAGAAGAGGGUAUGGGCCUGGCAGUGUGCAUGCUGCAAACUAUGCACCAUCACUGGCCUAAAACGCACCUCUGUGUGCAUCAUUUACUCACGUUUAAAAAUCACCCUCUACUUGUUCUCCUGUGACCCUCAUUGGACUAUAUCCAGACAGCACUGAAAGUGAUAGCCAGAAAAAGUAGAAACAACCCAUGUGUUCAUCCACUGACGAAUGGAUCAAAACAUGUGGCGUGUCCAUCCAUACAAGGGGAUAUUACCCAGCAGUCAAAAGGAGCAAAGAACUGAUGUAUACCACACCAUGGCUGAUUCUCAACAGUAUGUUCAGUGAAAGAAACCAGUCACAAAAGCACAUGUACUGUAUGUCUAUUUAUAUGAACUGCUUGGAGGAGGCACCUAGUGGUUGCCAGGGGCUUGGGGUGGGGGUGGAGGGCAGGAAUGGGGAAUGCCUGCCCCCUCCAUGGGGUUUCUUUGUGGGGUGAUUAAAAUGUUCUAAAAUUGGUAUGGUGAUGGUUGCAUGAGUCUGUGAAUACACUAAAACCACUGAGUGGUACAC